rnacentral:rRNA from 1 species
UACAGAGGUCUCAAGCGUUGUUCGGAUUCAUUGGGCGUAAAGGGUGUGUAGGUGGCGCCGUAAGUCGGGUGUGAAAUUUCGGAGCUUAACUCCGAAACUGCAUUCGAUACUGCGGUGCUUGAGGACUGGAGAGGAGACUGGAAUUCAUGGUGUAGCAGUGAAAUGCGUAGAGAUCAUGAGGAAGACCAGUGGCGAAGGCGGCCAACUGGACGGUGACUGACGCUGAGACGCGAAAGCGUGGGGAGCAAACAGG